rnacentral:rRNA from 1 species
AUGUUGGACUGUGGAUUGACUGACUUGGGCUUUUCCGGUCCUAAGUUCACGUGGUGUAAUAGACAGGAUCCCAACAGUAAUGUCCGGUGUCACUUGGAUCGAGCUAUGGCGAACAGUGACUUUUCUAACUUGUUUGAGGCUUGCAAUGUGGAGAAUAUUAUUGCCACCACAUCUGACCACUAUCCGAUCCUUGUUCGGCUGCGGGCAGAUCUUCAUAUGCACCGUGCGAUCCCAGUGCAGCAAGGUUUCAGGUUUGAGGCAAUGUGGCUGCGGGCGGCUGAUUACCGUGAAACGCUCGAGCAGGCUUGGUCGGCUGGCAAAGAUGGCUUGUUGUCUUUGAGCUCGACUUGGACGAACCUCAAGGGGGUGGCUAGCUCUCUGCGCUCCUGGAGCAAGGAGGCUUUCGGUUCUGUUCGUAAGAAUAUUGGCAAGAUGGAACGUCGCCUUGCUACCAUUAGGGCGUCACCGCCCUCCCCGUCUUCGCUUGCUGAGGAGAAACACAUUGAGGGUCAGCUAUGCGAGUUGUUUGAGCGUGAAGAGGUUAUGGAGAGGCAGCGGUCUCGGGUGGACUGGCUCAAAGCCGGUGACCGUAACACGGAGUUUUUCCAAGCCCGUGCGACGGCCAGACGGAGAACAAAUAAAAUUCACUCUCUUCUUUGGGAUGAUGGCUCGGUCUGUUCUACUCAGAGUCAGAUAAAACAGUUGGUGUAGUCCUACUAUGAGCAGCUCUUCACGUCCAAACCACGCACGUCUGCUGAUGAGCUUCUGCAGGCGAUC